GUCAGUUCGUCUUAUAUCUUGUGUCAGCGAUCAAGCCUUGUUUCUUCCUCGUGUUUGCUCUGCAGUUUUGACCAGUUUUACUGUUUUUUAAAAAACACCUGCCUGAAAUCUGCAUCUACAAUCCUGGCUGCUCAGGAAAGCUGCCAAAUUAUUCCGAACUCCAACAGAGGAAAGCUUCACUCUAAUCAAGUCUGUUCAGGUGAUAACAGAAAUAAUCCACCUCCAUUAUGUCUGUGAGAAAACAAAAUGAGCAGCUGUGCGGUCUCUUCUGAGCAGACAUCUCCCUCUUGUGGCACGUGGACUCUGUCACAAGUAUUCAGUGUUUGUUUUUUAAAGGAAAUGUCUUUUGUUACAUACUAUCUGUGAGAUGGACAGUAAUGAAGUAAAUGUUCUUGAACACCGUA